UACGAAGGGGGAGCUAGCGUUGUUCGGAAUUACUGGGCGUAAAGCGCGCGUAGGCGGACCUGCAAGUCGGGGGGUGAAAGCCCGAGGCUCAACCUCGGAACUGCCUUCGAUACUGCAGGUCUCGAGUCCGGGAGAGGUGAGUGGAAUUCCUAGUGUAGAGGUGAAAUUCGUAGAUAUUAGGAAGAACACCAGUGGCGAAGGCGGCUGCACUGGCCCGGUACUGACGCGUGAGGCGCGAAAGCGUGGGGAGCAAACAGG
rnacentral:rRNA from 1 species